GACCUCAAAAUAUUGAAUAAUAAUAGGUAGGGGAUAAUCAAUGAGGGGCUAUGUGUUCUCUGGAAUAUAAUGCACAAUGUGGAAGGUGUUCCAGGACGCGCUAGCCUCCUUCCAUGGAGUUGCAUUAUUUUCCAGAGAACACAUAGAGCCCCAAGUUGAUUAUCCCUUUUAUACCAUGGCUAUAAUUGAACACAUGUACCGCUAUAAAUGUGUUAAUUUGCUGGUAGAAAUGUUUUCAACAUCCACUGAAGUAGCUAUCAAGUUGACUAGAUAUCAACAAUAGUUGCCUUGGUAAACAGACUUGCUAGUUUAGCUAACUAAACCAUAAGUCCUAGCUUGCUAAUAUAAAAAUCAAAUUCAACAAUGCUAAUGUUUUUCAAUUCAAUUUUUGCUUUCAAAAGUAGCUCAAACAUGGAACAUGUAAGAAUGAACUAUAGUCAUUGAAUUCUACCAUGCAAAUAUAUUGUGCAUUAUAGGAAAAUAAUGCAUGCUCUAGAAUGCCCUUCAAUCAGUUGUAUAAAGUAUUUAAGUAAAACAUAAUUUAAAGUACUACUUGAGUACUACUACUUCUGCCAACUUUAAUACAUUCUUAAAGAAAAUAAUGUACUUUUUACUCCAUACAUUUUCCCUAACACCCAAAAGUACUCGUUACAUUUUGACAGGAAAACGGUCCAAUUCACACACUUACCAUGAGAACAAUCCCUGGUCAUCACUACUGCAUCUGAUCUGGCAGACUCACUAAACAAAUGCUUAGUUUGUAAAUUAUGUCUGAGUGUUGGAGUGUGCCCCUGCGAUCUGUCUAAAAAAAAAGACAAUUGUGCAGUCUGGUUUACUUUUACUCAAUUAUGGCAAUUUAGUACUUUUUCCACCACUGCCUUCAAGCCAAUCAGAAAUGAGUAUUCAACAAUGCCAUGAUAUAAUGCAAGAGAAGCCGGUGUUUGGAGGAUAUACAGGCAAGGUGUUAUUACGUCCGAGACGAAGUCGAGGGCCAGCAAACCGUGCCAAUAUAUUCUCCAAACACGGGCUUCAAGGUCAUUAUCAAGGGUUACCAACAUAUUCAAAUAAUGAUUGACAUUUUUAUUUAAAAAAAACAUUGAAUUUAUUCAUACCAUUUCACCCUUCCAUGAGAUACAGUACUGACACAUCUAGGGUUGCUUCCCAAGCCGGAUGGUCGUUCAUUCUAUCGGUACGUUUGCCAGAGACGGACCCAGUCAUUAAGUCUCUGUUCUGUAUCUAUGUCGUUUAUUCUAAAUGUUCUGUUGCCAUACUGUUUGGCAAUGUUCUUAUCCCUUGCUUCCUAGCUAGCCAACUACGGCUAAUUUACGGUCAAACAUUACAGCCAGAAUAACAGCUAAGUAGCCACAUUUGCAUUUGUUUUAGCGGUUUUCUAGUGAUAUUUGAUAAUGAUGCGUGAUUUUACCUGGCAUAGAAAAUGUGCUCCGAUGAGCUGGCCAACAACACAGCUAACACAAUCACUUCAAACUGAAGCUGGGAAGACUGCAAACUAGCUGCAUUUCGUUUUCGAUUGACAUUUCUUUGUAUAUAUCCAUUUAAAAAAAAGUCUGAUUCAUGAUUGACUGGCUGAGAAAAGCUGCCUGCAUGUCUCAUCCUGACUCCCGACCCCUACACAUGCCUAACCAGUUAUCAUUUAACAAGUGUCGUAUCAAUUUGAGGUUUGUCGAAGUCGGUAAGGAAAAGAUGAGUCUGUUCUACUCAUGAAUUCAGACCCCUUCACUUGUCCUGCAUUGUUAUGUUACAGCCUUAUUCUAAAAUGGAUUAAAUAACAAAUCCUCAAUCUACACACAAAAGCCCUUAAAAAGCGAAAACAGGUUGACAUUUUUUGCAAAUUUAUUUAAAAAAAACAUAUACCUUAUUUACUUCAGUAUUCAGACCCUUUUUUAAAAACCUUUAACUAGGCAAGUCAGUUAACAAAUUCUUAUUUUCAAUGACAGCCUAGGGACAGUGGGUUAACUGCCUUGUUCAGGGGCACAAUGACAGAUUUUUACCUUGUCAGUUCGGGGAUUCGAUCUUGCAACCUUUCAGUUACUCGUCCAAUGCUCUAAUCACUAGGCUACCUGCUGCCCUUUGCUAUGAGACUGGAAAUUGAGCUCCGGUGCAUCCUGUUUCCGUUGAUCAUCCUUGAUGUUUCUAGAACUUUGAUUCAAUUUAUUUGAAAAUUAUUUGAUUAAAUUAAUUUGACAUGAUUUGGAAAGGCACAUCUGUCUGUACAAGGUCCCACAGUUGACAGUGCACGUCAGAGUAAAAACCAAGCCAUGAGGCCGAAAGAAUUGUCUGUAGAGCUCCGAGACAGGAUUGUGUCGAGGCACAGAUCUGGGGAAGGGUACAAAAACAAUUCUGCAGCAUUGAAGGUCCUCAAGAACACAGUGGCCUCCAUCAUUCUUAAAUGGAAGCCGUUUGGAACCACCAAGACUCUUCCUAGAGCUGGCUGCUCGUCCAAACUGAGCAAUCAGGAGAGAAAGGCCUUGGUCAGGGAGGUGACCAGGUCACUCUGACAGAGUUCCUCUGUGGAGAUGGUUGUCCUUCUGGAAGGUUCAAGAUUGAACUAUUUGGCAUGAAUGCCAAGUGUCACAUCUGGAGGAAACCUGGCACCAUCCCCACGGUGAAGCAUGGUGGUGGCAGCAUCAUGCUGUGAGGAUGUUUUUCAGCGGCAGGGACUGGGAGACUAGUCAGGAUCAAGGGAAAGAUGAACGGAGUACUGAGAGAUUGAUGAAAACCUGCUCAGGACCUCAGACUGGGUUUAAGGUUCAGCUUCAAUACAUUUGCAAAAAUGUCUAAACCUGUUUUUGCUUUUCAUUAUGGCGUAGUGUGUGUGUAGAUUGAGAAACAUUAUUUAAUCCAUGGCUGUAAAGUAUCAAAAAGUUGUAGAAAGUGAAGGGGUCUGAAUAUUUUCCUAAUGCACUAUACAUCCAAAACCACUCAGUGGUUUUGAAUUCAAACACAUUCUUUAUGAAUUACAUCUGCAUACUGCUCUGCUUGCAUGGUUUCAGAUUUUUUGUUCUCCCUCAUAUUGUAGGAAAACUUUUGAAGGGGUCUGAACAGUGUGUUUUCAUGGACUUUCCUGAGUAUUAAAGGCCAGUACUUCAAAAUGAGACGAUCCUGCCAUGGAAAAGACGACUGGGUGGACAAAGUGGAAAACUCACCAUGCAGCAGGGUCUUUAAUGCAGAUGGCCAAGGAAGUUACACAGAACUUCCCCUCCCAAAUUGAUAUAGAACCUUCACAAAAGCACAUGGAGCAACUGCGAAACUAAAUGGCUGGUAUGUAAUGACAUUUGAAUUCAAAGUAAAUGUAAAUUCUUAAUUUGUAUGUAGUUGUGUGGGACAGCCAUAUGUUCAGUUCAUGCCUAUGAUUUGAGUUCAACAAAGCCAACACCUGCUUCUUGUGUGUCACCGAUAAAGAACCUGGAUGUGGCCCAAAGACUGACUGGGUUAGUAACUUUAUUUAACACGUUUAUAAUCUUUUGACAACAGUGACGGCAUGUAAGACAAUUUUUGAUAACACAAUGGAUGGUUAAUUCGUCAUACGUUAUAAAUAAUAUCAAUGCAGUGUUACGCUUUGUUUUAGAUUUGAUGUUUUGCAUGCCAACAGUGGUUCAAUGUGCUGUCCCUAGGACUGAAGACAAGAGUUCAGAGUGAAGAACACAAACUGGAAGUGCUGUCUUUGUUGUUGAAAAUGUAUGCUAUACCCCAUCCACACUGAAGAGGCUCUGAAAUGUACAUCAACCAGGGAUAAAGAGAAAGUCAACACUGAAAUGUUUCAUACUCAUCUGACAUUAUUAAAUGUCUACAAUUUCUGCUUAAUUUGUCAAUAUUACAUUUUUAUUCAUUGAUUUACCGGCCACCAUUACUGUGGUUACAUGUUCAGUAUAUGUAUUGACCAGCAAACCCACUGCAGCCUACUUCAAGCUCACUCUCCAUCCCUGCUUUGGACAAUUAAUAACAUGACUCUCGUACUUUGCCUUAUUCCUACUUUAUCUGGUGACAACUGCAUGCAUCGCCAUCCUUGUAGAGUUUCCGAGCCUUGUUUUAUAUCUUAUGACACAAUAUUGUAUACUUGUAUAGAGCAGACAAACCCAGUAAUCUGUAAAAGUUUCACCAUGUUACAGGUGGUCCAAAAGCUGUCGAGACCCCUUCAUAGAGAAACUGCCCAACAACAAAAAGCCUGUGUUGUGAGGCCAUUGCACUGAUUAAGCAUACAGCUGAUGAAGCAGAUGUUCGCCUAUCGCCAAAAGAUGGUUCAUGACCCAGUGAAGUCCUCUGAAAUAUUCCCAGCAAUCCAAAGACAUAGCAGGAAUGAUUGAGCAAGAUUUUAGUGAUGCAACCUCUGCAAAGUUCCUGGAGAAGUGGCCUACUCUCUCCAAGCAGAAAGUUAUUGACCAAAGACGUGGCCUCACACAGACAGGCGGCCUGCAAGACCUGGUUCAAGAUGCUGAAUCCACAACAGAAGUGGACAAUCGUAUGCUGGAAUAAAAGAUGGGACAGUGACAUGUCCUCCAUUUUGGUCCUUGUCCACCUUAUACCACCAUCACCUCAUGGCCACAAGAGACCUGGAAAAAUAUCAGCCAGACACACCAGUAACCACAUUGUGAAGUUCAUCAAGACUGGGACCAGCAUCUGGAGAGCGCCAUGGAAAGCCUUCAACCCUAUCUGCUUGCUGUGGGGAUCCAGAGGAGUGUGAUUCACAAGUACUUCAUUGUGAUUGACAAACAUGCAAUACAUUGUAAGUCACCAGACUCUCUUGCCUGUUUUGUCUUUGGUACCUCACAUCUCCCUCACUAGCUUUCAGAUCACUGCACAUGUACAUAGCCCAUCUGUAAACAGCCCAUCUACCUACCUCAUCCCCAUACUGGUAUUUAUUUAUUUUGCUCCUUUGCACCCCAGUAUCUCUACCUGCACUUUCAUCUUAUGCCAAUCUACCAUUCCAGUGUUUAAUUGCUAUAUUGUAAUUACUUCGCCACCAUGGCCUAUUUAUUUCCUUAAACUUACCUCAUUUGCACUCACUGUAUAUAGACUUUUUUGUUUUCUUUUGUUCUACUGCAUUAUUGACUAUGUUUUUGUUUGUUCCAAGUGUAACUCAGUGUUGCAAGUGUCGAAUUGCUAUGCUUUAUCUUGGCCAGGUCGCAGUUGCAAAUGAGAACUUGUUCUCAACUAGCCUACCUGGUUAAAUAAAGGUGAAAUAAAAUAAA